UUUUUUUUUUUUUUUUUUUAACACUUUCUCGGUUUUUCUCCAACGGCAGAAACCUCUUUCAUUUGCAUCGCGUAGUCGCUCGGCUCUCAUUCAGCUAUCGGUGUGGGUGCAGUUCCUCAUGGUUUGAUGUGGGUGGAGAUACUUCUGGGCCAGGGGAGGUGGUGGAAUCUAAGAGCGGAUUAAGGUUCUCUUUCCUGAUCGUCCACCAGAGCGCCUCUUACUUUCCAUACUUCCCCUCCCUUUCUUGGCCCUGCCAACCUUUGAAAAACUGGUCACACUGCCAUCUCCUAGGGCGAUAUUUCCCUAUCGAUAGCUUUCAAUUGCAACACCACACAAAAAUUCGCGAGAAUGCCGGCCGAAGCGAAGUAUUUGUAAACAUAGAAAGAUUGGCUUGCCGUGAAAUUGUUCCUAUAUUGUUUUUAAUAAUCAAAACAACAACUUUGUUAUCCUGCCUUGCCCCCAAUUGCCCCAUUGGCCUUUUGUGCCCAACGUAGGCCUAAACCCACUAGACUUUUGUUUUGCUACCCAGGUCUUUUGCGUGAAAAAUCCCAACAGGCUUCCCCGCAGAUCCUCCAAUUUGUAGGAAUUGUUCCCUAUAGGGCGUACGACUCGGCAUUUCACAUAUUUUCGAGCAAACUUGGCAUUGUACAUCUUUCCAAAAUUGCUCUGAGUGAAAUUGCGUCUGUAGAUUUCUUGGCCAGGCUUAGCAUGGAAAACUCGAGCCCGUUUGUUAUAGCGCUGGCUGCUGCGUUCAUAUGCUUGAUGAAGAUUUUUCCGGAUGUGAUCGCGGAUAAGUUAUGGCAGUUAAGUGACCACGUGCACGUGUGAAACUACAUUUCAUUGUGACAUUUUGUAAGUGUAAUAUACCAAUCCUUUUUACCCUCUCCUCGCCACAUUCUCUAGAUCUAAUUUACAAUGACUUUUCAGUUGUGUGACCACGUAUGCUUGUGAAGCCAAUAAUGCUAAUUAAGUGAUCACGUCCACCUGUGAAACAACCCUUGAUCCACUCCUCCAUUUAAUUCAUUUAAAUUUCUUUUUGACCCACGAACCUUACCGUCAACUACUUAUCUAAGAUCCAUCGCUUCAUCCCUCUGCUCACCCCGUUUAAUAAUUCAGACGCAUACAGCUUUGAUGACACUUUUAUAACUACUACUACUCAAAUUUCUGAUAAUGGUUUAGGUUUUCCAACACCUAGUGUCUUGAGCUCUCUGUUUCUUAUUUAAAUAUUAAAAUUUAAAUUAGUGAAUUAGAUCCAUAACUAUUUUCCGUAAUGAUUUAAAUCCUUCAAUUUUCAUUUCAUCCAUAAAGGUUUUCCAAAAACACAUUCAGAUCAAUUUCACGGAAUGGCCUACAUUUGCUCUUGUAAAAUAACGUAUGGGGUCGCAUUUCCAAUAUGUUAGUAUAGCAGUGAAUCCGGUUAAUUGGAAAUGGUUUUUGUCCAAUUAUGAAUAAGUGGUUGACUUAUAAAUACAUAUUGUAAAAUGGUAAA